rnacentral:misc_RNA from 1 species
GAUCAGCCGUACAAUUAUCAGCUUGACAACACCUCAUCCCUGCACUCAAACUACCACCAUCUUUCUUUCCUCCACCACCACCAUCGUCACCAGCCACCACUUUCUUUUUCUUGUUACUCUCAACACCAUUUUCCACAUACCCCAUCUUCAGAUACCCUUCAUUAUCUGAUGACUCCCAACCAAGCUCAGCUAAUUCCUUCUUCACAACCUUCCCCACCAUCGGCUGCUUCCCUUUUCCAUCCAUUACCUCUUUGGGGGAGCAAAAGUUACAAAGUGAAAAAACGAAAGCAAAACUUUGGUUGCGAAAAGUGAGUGUUUAAGAAGUGAAAAAACAAGCAAAUAAGAGAAUAAGGAGAGAUAAAGAAGGUGGGAAUUAUACUAGUGAAGGGAAAGUUGAAAAUGAGCGAGGACCACACAAGCUCCAUUCUUUUUUCUAUUUUCCUCCUGCCC